rnacentral:lncRNA from 1 species
GCUGGACCGUGGCAGUAGCGAGGAAUGUGAUAUUUCCGAGUUACCUUUGAAAACCAUAUCUCGUUAGCAGGAAGGAUAGGGUUUAUAGGUGCGGGUCGAACAUCCUCUGUGGUGUCUAGAUUUCGUAAGCUUCCCCAAUAGAACAAUAGAUUAUCCUUACCAAGGUUAGAAGGAGAUUACGGUUGUAGUCUUCUCUAUUUAUCACUCACAUCGAGAAACAUUCUUUGUUGCCUAAAGGGUUAGUAGUAAUAGACCGGGUUAGUCAGAUGCACUCUUUUUCCUAGUGGUAAAAAAUAAAUACGAUACUCUGGAUAACCUCUCGGGUGAAGUGCUCACCGAUAUCCGUGCACUUGCGGAUCCCAAAUAUCAACAGGGGUCUGCUUAUAUAGUCCUCUCAGGUGAACGUGGGCCGUCGGAUCAAACCGACAUUGAUUGAAUGGUUAUCCUUGAUCCUUUAGGUCGGUGGAGCGUAAUCCGUGAGACGGGUCCUGAUUGGACUCUACCUAAGGGCGAGCGCUCUAGGGGGGAGGGCGGGCGCCCUGCCCCCGGGCCCGAUCACCUUCCCGUUCAUUCCCAUGGCUUCUGGAGUCUUCUAGAUGGUAGAAAAUUGCGCGGCACGUUAAUAUCUCUAUGUAAACCCGAUGUGUGAGCCUUUCUUCCAUAUUUCCUGAUAACCCCCUGCAGAAAUAGACAAACAGCAAAACUCGUGGAAUUCGGUCAGAUAAAACCCUAAGUCUGGGUGUUGGUUGCAUUUAGAUCCUUUUCUUUAUUUAUUUGAUGAUUGUAUUUGGUACUUAAGGACCGUCAACAACUCCCCCAAGCUUACCUCUUGCUCAUCCCCGAGCAAGGAUGGACUCAAGAGUUUCUGCAAUGGUUUCAUGCUGUAAAAGUACACAUGCAUUCAAGCAAGAUCUCAUCUCUGAGUUAGAGUAAACUGUUAAGACUUAAAACUUACUCAUUUUACCUUUCACCAUGGGGCUUGCAACCAUCACUUGUGUCUUGAGCAGUUAAAAGAUAGAACGGUCAAGUCAAGCGCCAUGUCUCUUAUUCUUGAUCAGCUAUAGCUGUGGAGUUUUUGUAGAUUUUCAAAUAAACCUCAGAGAUUUCUUGUAUGACUCUCUCAAAUCUCUCUUUUGUGGUAUUUCUGGAUCCUUUCCAAGGCAGUAAUGGUAUAUGCCUUCUCUCAAAGUAUGUGGUAUUUUUGGUAUGAGGCAUAGUGAUAUUGCCUUCUCUCUCACCCUACUCUAAUAAGGUUUUGAUAUCUGGAGCUCAUAGGUGGGAGACAGAUAAUACAUACUUACAAGACAUUUAUUGUAUAGUAAAACCAUGGAUCCAGAAGAACAAGUCAAUAAGUCAAAUCAAGAUAUGCAUGUGUGGCGAGUGAAUGGUGUAUGGUGACGAUGGUGAUAACAAUGGUGAAAGUCUAAUUCUACUUUUGCUCUUUUUAGGGGAUACAUACCUUUCUUGCACUUUGAAGCUUUUUGAGGACAAUGAGAUGCUCUAUAUUUUUCUUUUUCUUUUUCUCUCAGGUGGGUAUCUUGUACCCCUAAUUCUACUAUUGGACACUUGUCCAUUUUUACCUCUCAUCUCACUUUUUCUUUUCUUCGAGGUUCCGGGCACUUGCCCCUUUUUAUUUCUUCGUAUUCACUUUUUUUUCUUUUUUUAGAGCACUCAUCUCAAAUAAUAUAGCAAGUGGUAGUAACCAAAAUAUCUCGCGCAUUUAUUCCACAGGGAAUAAUAGGGAUAGGAUAAUGUUUUUGGCUAUUCUCUACCGGAUUAGGAGUAGAAUACUCUUGGGUGGCUCUGGAGAUGGAAAUGAGUGGAUAUAUGUUCAUGCGUACUUCCGGAGUAGAAGCAGCAUGUGUGAGUGAAAGUGCAAGUGAAUCUUGAUUUUAACCGCAUGACAAGCUCCUACGGGUCUACACAACUUGACCACACUCAAUGCUCAUAAGCAGUAAAAAGUAAAUGUGUGGCUCAAAGUCUAGCAAGCAUGUAUAUAUGGCUAUGGUAGGAAUUUAAACUCUCAUCAUACAGGAACUCAUCAUGCAAUAUUUUAAAGAUUUUCAAAUAUAAAAUUCUCCAGAAUUCUAGCAUCUCUAGGAACAGAUAAACAAUAGCUCAACCUUCCCAUAUCAUAUCCGUUAACGACUUAGACUUCAGAUCAAGUACUCUUCCCACAAGUUCAGGUUUAGAGCAAAUCAUAAUUCAUAACAGUUAUGCCUAAACUUGAGAGAGAUUUCAAUUUUGAGAACUAGUCAUGGCAGAGCAACUAUUCAUCAUUUCCAUGUGAGAGCUUAUCAUGAGGGUUCAUAGCAAACUUUAUUUAUUAUUUAUUUAGCAAACUAAGCGAAGAUGUAUAUAUAUAAGCACAAAAUCUUUAUUUGGGUUUUUUUGAUUAUGCAUAUUUUUAUUAUUUGAGUAAAGUAUAAACGCGAGUAGAAAUAAAUAGCUGGAUAAAUGGGACUGCUCUCCCCCAAGCUAGAUUUUGACGUAAUUUCUUCUGAUAUAGCUAGCAGGUGGCGGACGUGUAUUUGAAUGUCGGCAGCACCCUAACAACGAUUACUAUGUCCUCCGCCGGCUAGUCUUCUUUGAUCCUUGAAUUUUGUGGAGCUCAAAUAGACAACAAAGCUUUGUGGAACUGGUUAAGUGUUAGCAUACAAUAUCUUAGCUGUAAUCAUGUUGAGCUUCCUCUAAUAAAUAUUACUCUCUUUGUUAGGAUCAUAAAUCUAUUUUUUGUAUUCUCAUGUUUAUAGGAUAGGCAUAUAUUUGUUUUAUUUUUAUGCCACCACAGUGAAUGUACUUAUGGGUUUUAUGCCAUGAGCAUACUCACAUGGGGCUUACUAUUUUUAACAUUUUUAUUUUCUUUUCAAGAUGAUAUGAACCUGAUUAACUAAGCAAACUAUUUUAAAUAAUUGAAAGGAAAAAGAUAACUACCAAGUUUACCUCUUGGCAAGGCGUUCGGUGUUUUUAAGUCCUCCGAACGGUACUCUGUUUUCUUAGUCGUCCUGGGAUUCGCUGGAUGGCGUAGUCGGUGAUUCCGGUGGCGCCUCCUCUUCGUGUAUAACUAUCUUCUCUUCCUGACUCGGUGCUACGGUCUCCUCAGGACAGUUCUGUUCAAGCUGUAUGUCUUCAGACCUUACCAUUUCUCCUUUGUAGUCUGCCCAUCCGUCCUUGAUGAUUUGCCUCCUCUGGUUGCAGUUGUGUCGUCUUCUUCUUGUCUUGACCUGCUUAGAGUCUUCAACUAUAUAGUUAGCAUUAGUAAAAUAGCGGCGUACCUUCUUAGAGGGGAAGUGCAUGUGGACUUCUCCGGUUCCAAUGUAGAUGAUUGCUUUAACGGUGCUGAGGAACGGUCUCUCAAGGAUGAUGGGUGGAUCAUACUCGUCUUCUCCUAUGUCAAUAACCUUCAACCUUUCGGAAUGUCUCUGCUAUCUGGAGCUGGGUCAUCCUUUUUGGUCAGAAACGGUGACUUAAGUCGACGAUCUUGACCUCCUUGAACUGCAGUGACCAUCUUAGCUGACUCGGUCCACAUUUGCUUGUUCCUGUUCCUCCUGUUGGUCCUCUUCCUUGGUUCAUGUCGGGAUCGUUCUGAGAUUUGUGUAGUCUUGUUCUUGAGGGUA